rnacentral:tRNA from 1 species
AAGGGCGUAGUUCAAUGGGAGAACAGCGGUCUCCAAAGCCGUAUGUUGUAGGUUCAACUCCUACCGCCUUUG